GCAGCAACCCAUGGUACCUUCUGUCUGUAUGGAUUUGCUACUCUAAGCAUAUCAUAUAGGGGGAUGACAUGGUAUUUGUGUUUUGUGAUUGGCUUAUUUCACUUAGCACAAUGUCCUCAAGAUUCAUCCAUGUUGUAGCACAGGUCAGAAUUCUCUUCCUUUCUAAGGCUGAAUAAUAUUUCCAUGUACGUAUAUACUACAUUUGCUUAUUCACUGGUCAAGGGACACUUAUGUUGCUGUGACCUUUUCUCUAUAGUGAGCAAUGCUGCUAUGUGAAAUUUACUCUUUCAAGAUCUAAAACCUAGUGUAGUAAGCAAAAAUCUUAGAUGGCCCCAAGAUUCCCACCCCCUUGUGUAUAUGCCCUGCAUAAUCCUCCCUCCUUGAGUAUAAAGGACUUUAAUAUGAUGAGAUAUCACUCCAUGCUUAUGUUACUUUAUAUGAAGGAAUGGAUUCUGAAGAUGUAAGUAAAGGCCUUAUCAAUUGACUUUGACUUAAUCAAAAUGGAGAUUGAACUGGGUAAGCUCACCCUAAUUAAAUGAGUCCUUAAAAGAGGAUAGAAUUAAAGCCAGAGAGAGAUUUCAUCCUUUUCUUAAAGAAGCAAAUGAUCAUGUUGUGAAUCUGUUAUGGAGCUUUGUGACAAGAAUCUAAAGGUGGACCCUUAAGGUUUGAGAGUUCUCAGCCAAUAACAUGCAAGAGAAUGAAGACUUCAGCUCUACAACAACAAGGCAUGGAAUUCUGCCAACAACCAAUGACUUGGAAGAGAACCCAGAGCCUGAUAUGAGAGUGCAAUCCAGGCAGACACCUUGAGGUCUUUAGCAGAAGACUGAGCUAACCUGUACCCAGAUUCAUGACCAAACAGAAACUACACGCCAGGUGAUAAAAGGAUGGAAUGCUUUAACACUCCUCCCCACUUGCCAUAGUCCUCCUGAUUUGAUUCUGGUUUUGCUCCUUUGGACUUAAAUGAUCUUUCUGGUACAGUACUGGGUAGAAUAGCAUUUGAAAAAUAAAACAAAGGUAGAAUGUU